rnacentral:rRNA from 1 species
UACGAAGGGGGCUAGCGUUGCUCGGAUUGACUGGGCGUAAAGGGCGCGUAGGCGGUUCGUACAGUCAGACGUGAAAUUCCUGGGCUCAACCUGGGGGCUGCGUUUGAUACGUGCGGACUUGAGUGCGGAAGAGGGUCGUGGAAUUCCCAGUGUAGAGGUGAAAUUCGUAGAUAUUGGGAAGAACACCGGUGGCGAAGGCGGCGACCUGGUCCGAUAUUGACGCUGAGGCGCGAAAGCGUGGGGAGCAAACAGG